rnacentral:lncRNA from 1 species
GUAACUAGGGACAAGUUAAUUGACUCCUCUUAGCCCUUAGUGUCCUCAUCAAUUAUUACGUGGUAAUAACCCCUCAGAGAGUCGCCGGGAGAAUUAGCUCGGCGCGGUGCAUGGGGCUAGAACUCAGGGCCCAGCAGGUCUGACAAUGCAGGUUUCCCCGCUCGCCUGUUGGGUUUUUGAAACGCCCUCAGCGGGGUUUUCCUCCUAAUUCUGGUUUGGAGGAGCCAUCUCUCUCCAUCCCGUCUGCCAGCGGGGUUUGCUUCACACACAGACGUGGGCAGAUGGCAUCGGGGACACAGCACAGCGCUUGCCCCCAGCGGCCUGGCGUCGGGCUGGAGCCCGGCAGAGGGAGGGAGGAGACCGGCAUCCGCGCUCGCUGAUCAGAGAGAGCCGGGCCUGCUGCUGGGGAACGUGGAGGGGCUCCGGACAGCCACGCGCCCUGGCCGGUCACGGAAAGCUCUGAGGGACAUUCGGUCGGCCGUCGGGGAAGAGGCUGGCCGCCGCAGCGCGAACUGGGGGUGCGGGUGGAGCGGCUAGAGGCGCCGGGGGAAACCUGACCUUAGAGGAAAUGGAAAAGUUGGAGAGACACUGAGCACUGAUACGAAAUAAUUCUCUUGCUGAAAUACACGAAAGGAGUCCCAGCAGCCAUAUUAGUAUUUCCACGUCCUGUGUCAGCCCCAAGUAGAGAGAACUUGGAAUGGGAGGGGAAAUGGCAGCCAUCAGGAAAUGAAAUGCUGGCCCAGAGAAUUCUAAGCAAGUCAAUCACCAGUCCAACUCUUCCGAAAACUUCCUUGUUUUGCCUUUUCAAACAUCAGGGGCGUGACUUAUAACAGCCAAAUUUUGCCAGCAUGCUGUGUCAUGGGUUCCAGUCCGUGGAGCUCCGUCAUACUCUGUUGGGCAUCCUGUGUCUUAUUCCUCUCUUUAGGUCCAGUUUCUACAUACCUUAUCUGUGUUAUCUCAGGCUUCAGAAGCUUCUCCGUAACGUGGGCUACUUUCCCCUCAUCACUGGGUAUUUAUUUAUUUAUUUUUACUGAAGCCUGAGCCCUGUAACGUUACCACACUGGCCACAGCUUCAGGAGAGAGAUCACUGCUCUCAAGAACUUACAGUCUAGUGAUGGAUACAAAGGUACAUGAAAAAAUAACUAGCAAUGGAAAACAAAGCAUGAAAUGCGAUGAAACGUGGUCAGGAUGCUAAGUGCUAUGACAUAUCACACUCGGAACCUCACUUUGCUCAUAUGAAAAGCUGGAGAGAAUCUUCCCAAGCUUAGCACAUCCUCAUAGGAUUUUGGUGAAAAUCAGAUGAGAUGGUAGGUAUGGAAGAUUUCUGUCAACUACAAGUCAAUUACGCCAAAAAAUUAAGAGGUCUUGUCAAAUCAUAAAAUUAACAGAAUUAUUAUUAAACCUUAAGAGGGCACUUGAGAUAAUAAAUGCCAGAUUUAGUAGCAUGGUAGUAUCAUUCUAUCUGGGGUGGGGGCAGGAGGGAGGGAGUGCCAUAGGAAUGGGUACACAGAGGGCCUUCAAUUCCAUUGGUGUGCUGUGUGUCUUAUGCUCAGUGGUGGUUAUACAAAUGUUUGUCAUCUCAUUCUAUAAAUUUUGGUGGAUAUUAAAUAUUAUAACAUAUAUAGUUUGGUUAUUGAGGUUUUUUGUUUGUUUGUUUUUGUUUUGAGAUAGAGUCUUGUUCUGUUGUCUAGGCUGGAGAGCAGUGGCACAAUCUUGGCUCACUGCAACCUCCACCUCCCAGGUUCAAGCAAUCCUCCUACCUCAGCCUCCUAAGUAGCUGGGAUUACAGAUGCCCGCCACCAUGCCCAGCUAAUUUUUUAUUUUUACUAGAGACGAGGUUUCACCAUGUUGGCUAGACUGGUCUCCAACUCUUG